rnacentral:rRNA from 1 species
UACGUAGGGUGCGAGCGUUAAUCGGAAUUACUGGGCGUAAAGCGUGCGCAGGCGGUUCGUUGUGUCGGUGGUGAAAGCCCCGGGCUCAACCUGGGAAUGGCCAUGGAAACUGGCGAACUGGAGUGUGGCAGAGGGGGGUGGAAUUCCGCGUGUAGCAGUGAAAUGCGUAGAGAUGCGGAGGAACACCGAUGGCGAAGGCAGCCCCCUGGGCUAACACUGACGCUCAUGCACGAAAGCGUGGGGAGCAAACAGG